CGCUGGAGUUUAUGGGCUAACCAAUACAGCCAAUGUAGUUUUUAUGAUGUCAGCAUUACCCUUGCCCCAGUUUCCUGUAAUGGGUCAAACCAUUUUGCAAUGGUUCCCUGUUUGGCACUGAGUGAAUUCCAAAGGCUUGUGGAGCUGCAGAAGCCAGAAGUUGAUCCUCUCGCCCAUAUAUUGGUUGAAAGUGUGGCUGACCACUCAGCCUGUGAAUGCUAUUCUGUGCUUAGGAAAAUGCACAGAAUUUACAUUAAUUCCAG